CUUUACAAAUAUCAAGAGGAAUAAAACGAAGCCAUGAGUCUGCUUUAUCACUAGUGGAACCAACUGGUAAAACAAGAGUGAGUGUUGGGCAUGUUACUUCAUCUGAACCUCCUCUGUGUAGGCCCUGGGACAGAGGAGAUCUUGUGAGGAGGCUUGCCACUUUUAAGUCAAUGACCUGGUUCGCUAAGCCCAAGGUUCGUUUACUUUCAAUUUCUCUUCUUGUUGCUGACUUUGUGCAUAUGUAUGGAUGGGUUUUUUUGAGGAAUGUCGUCUCCAGAUGAUUUAACUAUUUCAAUAUGCGGAAUCCAAUCUCCAAAGCAACUUUUGUUGAACGAUGGGGCUUCCUCUUCGGUGUAUUUUAUAUUCCUCCCUCACUCAGUUCUGCACAAAAACUCGUCAGUUUAUGUGGCUGGGAACCACGUGCACUGCCUUACGUUGUUGACUGCAAGGACAGAUCUACACAGCUUGUUAAGGAUUCGGAUGUCAGGGAUUCAUACCAUAUGGUCAUUAAUGGGCAGAAUCCAAGUAUCCGAGUCCAUUCUGUUGCUUCUGAGCAAAGUGUGGAGGCAAAUGAAGAAUCUGGCUCUUGUAGUGGGCGACAUGCUGAUCCUAAUGCUGAUGUUUUAGAGUGCAAGCUCUGUGGGGCAAGUGUGGGAUUACGGACUUUUUCUAUGGUUCCACAGCCAUAAGAGUUGUUUAGAUUGGUCGGAUAUACUGAAGUCAUAGUGACAGUAAUUCAGGACAAGAUUCAGCUAACGAAAAUCAUGCGGGCAGCAGGGGAGUCAUUGGAGACUCUGCCUCAAAUGGUGCUUUGUCUUCCAUGCAUAGACCAUCAGAUUUAAGUGUGACGAUUGUUGGGGGUCCACUCCCUACAAAACAGAACUUCAAAGCAACAAUUUCAUUGCCUGUUAUUGGCCAGAAUUUAAGGGCCAGGCUUUCUUAUGAUUCUGAUUUUAGGGAUCGUAUAUGUGAUAGAUAACCAAGAAAUUACUCGAUCUGGAUCUGAAAACAAUAAUCUAACUUCAGAGGAAUGGGAAUCUGCAGAACAGAAUUUUGGUGAACAAGUUUGUCAGCAUGAAGCUGUGGAUCUGUUGAAGAGCAAUAAUCAUGAUCAGGGCAGGGGCAGUGUAGUUAUUCAAGAGGCAACCAAUCUUCUUGUUUGAACUUUGAAAGUAGUGAAGGUGUUGCAUUUAGAAAAGAGAAUAACUCCCAGAUGUCUUCAGAAAGGACAGAUAUCACUAGAGAACCAACUUUUCCUGAAACUGCUGGGCAUGAUUCUGCUGUGCAAUGUUCGACACAGAGUCCAAGAAACACAGUGCAUGGUUAUGAUGCAACUGAUCAGCUUCCUUAAAAUGCAAACAACAUUGAAUUGCUUGGUUCGGUAGUGGGGGCUUUUCGAGGUAAUCAAGCUAGCACAUCUCAAGUUGCCUGGUCAGAUGCUAUUGUCCCUGUUGGAAAUGGAAAGAGAAGUGAAAGUAACUCCUCGGAGAUGAUUAUUUCAUCUAUCAAUCAUCAUGGACAACAAAUUCCAGGAGCAGAUAUCUCAGGCAGUAAAAAUAGAUAUGAGGAAAGGUCAAACUUGUUCUGAUAUCCAAAACACUAUAGGUGCUCAAGAAAAAGGCCAAGGCACCACAGGUGUUGUGCAGGUUCCAGUGAACAGUGAAGUUGUGGCCAACAGUACAGGAAAGGAUCCUAAGCAACUGGCAUUAGACAAAACAUUGGGAUUUAAUCCAAUCAGGCAACGUAGACAUUUUUGCACCUGGAUUGUAUCAACAAGCAGCGGGCCACCUGGUUGGCAACAAACACUAUCUGCUUUAGAGCGUCAGAAAGAGUUCUCUCUUCCUUCUACAAAUUCUCCUCCAUCUUCCUCCCUGAUCAAGAUUCGUUAACUGACCUGAAAUAAGGAGAUGUGGUAUUCUCCUGCACGGUCUUCACUUGUCCAAUCUUCUCUACAACCUCCAUCCCUUCCAAUACUCUUCCAACUACCAGAGACGAGGCAUCCAGCUCUGGUGAGUCCUUAGUGGCUAUCACAAACUCGGUACCGUUGGGGUCAGUCCCAACUUCCUCUUGAUCGAUCUCAAGCUUUCCUUUCCUUGCGACCAACUUCAACUUUGGAGGCGGUUUAGAAGGAUCCCUUACAAUAAUGCUUACAGUUCCAGCCAGAUUCUUGAUACCUGGACAGGUUUCAUACUCCCUCUGCCAUUCAUCUACUAGACUUUCCGCUGCCAAGUUGCUUCCCGUUCUCUGCGCAAGCUCAGCAUCCACACCAUAUGACCUUACCCCACCAUGCUGCACAUAGUUUGGCGUGAUCUUGAUGAAUUCUUUUCUUCUGUAACUAACACCAGCAGCUCCUCUUACAAGAUCGCUAAACCUAGCCGCUCCAGCCGGGACAUCCUCUCCAUAUAGUCCAACAACAAUGCGGCCAACAGGUUCUCCAUCAAUUGAUAUAUCAAGAAAUGCUCGCGCUGUAGUUUUAUUGCUGCACUCUGGUCUAGUGCUUGUAUUAUUUUCUUCCUGUGGACCGUUUUCAUUGGCAUCUGGCAAAGCUUCUUCGGCUUUUGCUUUGGACGUAUUGAAUGGCUCUAGGGUUUGAGAGCUUAGAAGAAGAAGCAAUGAAGAGUUGCCAAAAAUGGCAAGCUUUCGUCGCGAUAGUUUGCAGCAUUGCUUGAUUACGGUAGAUGAUGGAGAACUGGGUAUGUUUUGGAUCUGCGAAGGGUGUGUUGGUGGUAUUGGAAGAUGGAGUUUAAUGGAGGACUGAAAUACUUCUGGGUUCCGCAACAUUUCCCUUUGAAGAGGUUUUUGUGGUUUUGUUUCUUGAACUUGUUCAAGAUUGUUUUCUGGUGUCAAGGAAGUCUCUGUUUCUUCUACUGUUUUUUUGGUUUUUGUUUUAGGAUAAGGAAGAUGGAAGCACAAUCCAUCCACAGGAUUACAGGAAUAAAAAUUGAUGGUUUUUAUGGCA